rnacentral:rRNA from 1 species
UACGGAGGGUGCAAGCGUUGUCCGGAUUUAUUGGGUUUAAAGGGUGCGUAGGCGGCCCGGUAAGUCAGUGGUGAAAGCCUCCAGCUCAACUGGAGAACUGCCAUUGAUACUGUCGGGCUUGAGUACAGACGAGGUAGGCGGAAUUGAUUGUGUAGCGGUGAAAUGCAUAGAUACAAUCAAGAACUCCGAUUGCGUAGGCAGCUUACUAGGCUGUAACUGACGCUGAGGCACGAAAGCGUGGGGAGCGAACAGG